GAUGAAGAACGUAGCGAAAUGCGAUAAGUAAUGUGAAUUGCAGAAUUCGGUGAAUCAUCGAAUCUUUGAACGCACAUUGCGCCCGCCAGUAUUCUGGCGGGCAUGCCUGUUCGAGCGUCAUUUCAACCAUCAAGCCCCCGGGCUUGUGUUGGGGACCUGCGGCUGCCGCAGGCCCUGAAAAGCAGUGGCGGGCUCGCUGUCACACCGAGCGUAGUAGCAUACAUCUCGCUCUGGGCGUGCUGCGGGUUCCGGCCGUUAAACCACCUUUUAACCCAAGGUUGACCUCGGAUCAGGUAGGAAGACCCGCUGAACUUAAGCAUAUCAAUAAGCGGAGGA
rnacentral:misc_RNA from 1 species